CAAUGGGUAACUCUUCACUUUGCAGAGACAGGCCAAGAAGUGAUCUUUAGGUGGACAGAGUCCAAAUUCCUCUGCGACCAGUUGCCCUUUCAGUUGUGGAUGUACCCCCACUGUAUGGAGUGCAUCCAAAUGCUAAGCACACUGAACUGUAGCAAGGGUCUGGGAAGGAGGAGGCAGAUGGGAAUAUUGCACUUUGCCCAGAAAAUCCACUGAAAGAGCAAAGUCAGGCCUCUGCUUGGGUUUUCUCCCGUGAACAGCAAGCUUUUGCUGCUGCUAAAAGAUUUAUACUUCAAAGAAGGAAAGAAACAUCCACCAUCCACCAUUCAAAGCACUUACCCAGAUGCCCAUGGUUGCAAGCCUCAUGCAAUGGGGUCCAGCCACAAUAAUCCCGAGGAUUCAGAGGGUGACCCUGAAGCAGAGAUGAGAAACAGCAUCAUGCACCUGGGGUCCAAGGCACACUCACGCGCCCGUUCCAGGCAACGCAUAGCCUUCGAAUGCUCGCCUUCCCGCAGGUGGAUGUUGCCCAAGUUGUAAUAGGC